rnacentral:misc_RNA from 1 species
UCUCCGUUGGUGAACCAGCGGAGGGAUCAUUACAGGACUCGCAAGACUCCUUCACCCUGUGAACCUCACUACAAGCACGUUGCUUCGGCGGGUGUCCCGGCGGGGGUUUUCCCUCGCCGGGGCGCACAGCCCGCCGGCAGCCUACUAUACUCUGUCUCUUUGCGUUGGCAUCUCGAGAAAAAACAAACAAGUUAGAACUUUCAACAACGGAUCUCUUGGUUCUG